CUUGUAAAAGCACAAAGCACUUGGUGCUUGUAAGUUUUUUACCGUUAGAUCUACUCUUCGGAUCGUUUUCAACCAUUAGAUUAUACUAUUCAACCAACCCCCCACUCAACCCUAGGGAGCCCACAUCAUCCUAACCGCAUAUCUCUUAAUCCAAUGGUUAAAAAUCUAAAAGCACCAAUGGCUUGGUACUUUUAAAAGUAUAGGAGCUCAAUUAUCACUACAAUAGAAUUAGGUUAUAGGGACACAUGUUUGGGACACUUUUGAGUAAGCGUCCUAUUUAUCCUAAAACUUAAAAAAACAUAUACUAAUGCCUAAAUAUAAAGCCCAAUCCAACCAAAAAUAAAAGAUUACUCUACUCAACCCGUCACACCCAGUCCAUUUGGCCCGAUUACAAACAGAAAAGAAAAAAAAAAGAAAAUUCAAUUACCAUCUUUUCUUUUCUCUUCACUCAAUCCACUGAAAUUCUAGACGAAGAGCCUUUCCUGUCGUCCUCCUCCGCCACUGCAGCCAACGAGAUAGAGUUUCGACGGUUGCUAAAUGCUUAAAUAAGUAUUGGUAAAUUAGCAGCACUUUUUUAGGUUAUAGCGACACUCUUUAAUUGUCACUAUAUACCUAGCGACCCCACAUAUAGCAACACUUUUUAAAAGUGUCGGUAAUUUUCGCUAGCAGCACUUUUUUGACAUGUACCUAUAUUUAAAAGUGUCGCUAUAGACCGUUUUUGUUGUAGUGUAUAUAUAUAUAUAUAUAUAUAUA
rnacentral:lncRNA from 1 species